UACAGUUUUACUGUACAUGUUUUCAGCCUUUAUUGGUUAAAGACCAUUUUUAUUACGAAAAUAUUACGAAACUUCAAAAACUCAGUGUUUAAAACUCGGUGUCAUUCAGACUCAACCCUCUUGACUUUGGGUGAUUAAG